GUGUUCUAAGCAAUAUAUCUGUCAUACUUCCUUAUAAAUCCCUAUAUAAUGAAUCUAAAAUCACUAUCAAAGCAUCAGGUGGUAAAACGGACACUUGGAAGGGUUCCUCUAAAUAAUAUUUUGAUUCCUACAAUCUGUGCUUUACCGAGAUGAUACUACCAUGGAAUGUCCGAUUGGUCAGCUGUUUCCUGUGUGUAGUUUGUUUAUCAGCUGUGUACACGUCAGGACAAUUGUCCAAUCAGCAAAGUCCUUACUACAAUAACAAUUUAAAUAAUAAGCAAAAUAUCAAUAACAACAAUCCAAAUUCAUUAACUUCUCCAAAUUCAUAUCACGGUUCAAAUUCAUACAACAAUCCAAAUUCAUACAACAAUCCAAAUUCAUAUAAUAAUCCAAACUCAUAUAAUAAUCCAAAUACAUACAAUAAUCAGAAUUCAUACAAUAAUCCAAAGACAUAUAGCAACCCAAAUUCAUACAAUAAUCCAAAUGCAUACUACAAUCCAAAUUCAUAUCAAGGGAUGUUAAACAAUCCAAACUAUUACGGAAACAGCUACAACCCAAACAGCUUUUACGGCGCCAACUACUUGCCAAAUAAUUACAAUUGGAACAGUUACUAUGGGAACCCUUACGGAUGGAUGCCAUUUCCUCCUACUUAUCAGCAAGGUUACUAUGGACAACCGUUACCUUGGCACGGUAACCAAGGAUAUGCUUACUCUAGUCACCCUAGGAAGGUGAUCCAUUCAAUGGCUGUCGUACCAAACAUGUACAGUUUUCCAGUGUACGGAUAUAGUUACCAUGGUGUGCCAUACGGAGGGACCUAGUUACCAACGUUAUUGGCGUACCCAUCCAAUCCACACACAAUACGGAUACAACAAUCCACAAAGUCCAUUUUACUACGGCCAACGACAAGGAGGCCUGCUGGGCAACUGGUGGCCACUACUUCUCCUCAUACCGUUCCUAUUUCUGAACUGAGUGACAACAAAUCCAUCAAACCGGAUAUGACGUCGAUGAUAAAAUCGUCCUAUAUGGCGAGAUUUCCGACUGUCUUAAACUGGAUUCGACAAUGAGGACUAGAUUUGAUGACAUUGAUCAAAUUCAAUUGACACUGUUAAAACCAAGGUUACGCAAUAUUUUAUCUAUAUGUGAAUGUUAAAUGCAUGUUGAAAUUUUAUAUUUUGUUAUUAGAGGGAAAAUAAAACAGAGAAAACAAAGGAACUUUGUCUGUAGUAAA